CAUGACGGUACACUUGAUGUGUGGGAAGGCCCUGGCGAUGGCAGCCGCGGCUGUGCCAUGGCCGCCGCCGACGUCGACGAGCGAAGCGAGGCCGUGGAAGACGGCAGGGCACUCGCUGAGCACGACGUGCAUGACGAGGCGGGCAUCGGCGUCCAUGGCGUCGUAGAACCAGGCUCUGAUCGCGGGGUUGGCUCGGAAAGACUCCCACACGGUUCGCCGUGCACCAUCUCGUGGAGAGUCAUGUCGGGCGCGUGGUGGUGGUGCUGCUUCAUCCACUCGCUCAUGCUGAACAUGGGGGAGACGGCACCCUGAUGGACAAGGGCGGAAAUGUUUGGGCGUAUGCUGAAAUAGGAGCCACCGUUGACGAGCAGGCGGGAGGUCGCCGUGAGCUGGUACGAGACAACGGCGGCUGCAUCAUCAGCAGGGUCGUCGCUGGGAUCGUCAUCACGGUGGACCGCGAAGAUGCGCAUGGCUGUCAGCGUCCGCAUGAGUCGACGCAGGAAGGGGAGGCUGGAUGCGGGGAGGUUGCUGGCGGCGGCGAGUUCGCCUACGGUGGCGCCUCCGCCGUAGCGUUGGAUGGUAUCGGGGAUGCCAAGGUCCAAUGCGCAUUUGAGCGCCAUGGACUUGACGUAGCCCAGGGCAUGGCUCCAAAGCUCGCG
rnacentral:misc_RNA from 1 species